rnacentral:rRNA from 1 species
AAAAGCUCGUAGUUGGAUCUCAGCUCCGGCCGGACGGUCCGCCUUUCGGUGGUUACUGUUCGAUGCCGAGCGUUUCGGCGGUUAUUCUUGAUGAUCUUCACCGGUUGUCUCGGGUGACCGCCAAGUUUACUUUGAAAAAAUUAGAGUGCUCAAAGCAGACGUGACGUCUGAAUAAUUGUGCAUGGAAUAAUGGAAUAGGACCUCGGUUCUAUUUUGUUGGUUUUCGGAACACGAGGUAAUGAUUAAGAGGGACAGACGGGGGCAUUCGUAUUGCGACGCUAGAGGUGAAAUUCUUGGACCGUCGCAAGACGAACUACUGCGAAAGCAUUUGCCAAGAAUGUUUCCAUUAAUCAAGAACGAAAGUUAGAGGUUCGAAGGCGAUCAGAUACCGCCCUAGUUCUAACCAUAAACGAUGCCAGCCAGCAAUCCGCCUGUGUUCCUCAAAUGACACGGCGGGCGGCUUCCGGGAAACCAAAGCUUUUGGGUUCCGGGGGAAGUAUGGUUGCAAAGCUGAAACUUAAAGGAAUUGACGGAAGGUCACACCAGAAAUGGAGCCUGCGGCUUAAUUUGACUCAACACGGGGAAACUUACCCGGCCCGGACACAGGAAGGAUUGACAGAUUAAGAGCUCUUUCUUGAUUCUGUGGGUGGUGGUGCAUGGCCGUUCGUAGUUGGUGGGGCGACUUGUCUGGUUAAUUCCGAUAACGAACGAGACUCUAGCCUACUAAAUAGACGUUCCGAUCCUCUUGAGUCGGACGUUCUUCUUAGAGGGACAAGCGGCGUUUAGCCGCACGAGACAGAGCAAUAACAGGUCUGGGAUGCCCUUAGAUGUCCGGGGCCGCACGCGCGCUACAAUGAAGGAAUCAGCGUGUGCUUUCCCUGUCCGAAAGGACUGGGUAACCCGUUGAACCUCCUUCGUGCUGGGGAUUGGCGCCUGUAAUUACUCGCCAUGAACGAGGAAUUCCCAGUAAGCACGAGUCAUCAGCUCGUGUUGAUUACGUCCCUGACCUUUGUCCACACCGCCCGUCGCUACUACCGAUUGAAUGAUUUAGUGAGGUCUUCGGACUGGCGCUCGGAUUGGCCUUCGCGGUCGAGCCGGUGUGCCGGAAAGAUGACCAAACUUGAUCAUUUAGAGGAAGUAAAAGUCGUAACAAGGUUUU